rnacentral:rRNA from 1 species
AGCGAACGCUGGCGGCAGGCUUAACACAUGCAAGUCGAGCGGGCAUCUUCGGGUGUCAGCGGCGGACGGGUGAGUAACGCGUGGGAACGUGCCUUCUGGUUCGGAAUAACUCAGGGAAACUUGAGCUAAUACCGGAUACGCACUUUUGGGGAAAGGUUUACUGCCGGAAGAUCGGCCCGCGUCUGAUCAGCUGGUUGGGGGGGUAACGGCCUACCAAGGCGACGAGCAGUAGCUGGUCUGAGAGGAUGAUCAGCCACACUGGGACUGAGACACGGCCCAGACUGCUACGGGAGGCAGCAGUGGGUAAUAUUGGACAAUGGGGGCAACCCUGAGCCAGCCAUGCGGCGUGAGUGAUGAAGGCCUUAGGGUUGUAAAGCUCUUUUAUCCGGGACGAUAAUGACGGUACCGGAGGAAUAAGCCCCGGCUAACUUCGUGCCAGCCGCCGCAGUAAAAC